rnacentral:lncRNA from 1 species
UUCACCAUGAUAACUGUCAUGCUCUUUUAUUAAUUCAAAACAUAAAGCAUUUGCACAAUACGCAGCGGAUAGAGAUUAAAUCAAUUAUGCAAAACAUGUAGCAUAUUACAUGUAAACUGGUUCACAACCAACAAUAAGCAUUUAAAACAUCCCAUCCCGACGUUACAUCUACCAGAGCAUGACCCACUAAGGAACUACACUAGAC